UAACGUGUGGGCAACCUGCCCUGUACUGUGGAAUAAUCAUUGGAAACGAUGACUAAUACCGCAUGUGGUCCUCGGAAGGCAUCUUCUGAGGAAGAAAGGAUUUAUUCGGUACAGGAUGGGCCCGCAUCUGAUUAGCUAGUUGGUGAGAUAACAGCCCACCAAGGCGACGAUCGGUAGCCGGACUGGGAGGUUGAACGGCCACAUUGGGACUGAGACACGGCCCAG
rnacentral:rRNA from 1 species